UACGUAGGGGGCAAGCGUUGUUCGGAAUUACUGGGCGUAAAGGGCUCGUAGGCGGCCAACUAAGUCAGACGUGAAAUCCCUCGGCUUAACCGGGGAACUGCGUCUGAUACUGGAUGGCUUGAGAUUGGGAGAGGGAUGCGGAAUUCCAGGUGUAGCGGUGAAAUGCGUAGAUAUCUGGAGGAACACCGGUGGCGAAGGCGGCAUCCUGGACCAACACUGACGCUGAGGAGCGAAAGCCAGGGGAGCAAACGGG
rnacentral:rRNA from 1 species